AUUGUGGCGCGAUAGUUAAUCCAACACUACGCUCCCAUUGGAGCUAUAUUUUUCUUAUAACAUCCCCCCUCUAGCCAAAUGGAAUGCUCCAAAGAGUGGCUCGGUCCACAGACCUACUUGGACUCUACUGUCUACCUGUAGGAGGAGGUAGACAGGUGAAGGGAAGAGUCAACUAGAGCAAAGGCGGGGGGACCUCCCUAGGACUUUAGAUGUAGAGUUGCAUGAUCCAUGGAGGAUUUAUUUAUUGUAGGGCCUGCUCUGUUUAUAGGCACCUUCAUGUGUAGUGGUGCCUGGGAGCCCCAGUCAUGAAUCAGGAUGCCAGGUAUUGUACAAGCAGAGUGAAAAAGAUGGUCCUUGCCCUGAAGAGCCUGCAAUCAAAGCAAUGCCUUGGAGACGUAACUGGAGCAGUUCUCAGUGUUUCCAGGACUGAGAAUCUGACACCAACAGGACGUCAGGAAAACGAAGACAAGCCGGUCCUCCCAGCAAAAAGUGCAAGGACCAUGCAUGCCUGGGGGAAGGACUGUAUGUGACCUUGAAUAGCUGACCUCUGCAGUAUCUAUAUCAGAUCUACUGAUGGAAAGUGCUGUCUAAGAGCUAGAUAUUAUAAUGUGUGAUGAGGAAGAAUUGUCCUGUGGUUCAGAGAUUCGGAAGGCCUGGGUUUGAUUCUUGGCUCUGCUACAGACUUCCUGUGUGACCUAGGGCAAGUCCCUUAAUCUCUCUCUAUUCAUUGUGUUGAGGAUAAAUUGAUUAAUGUUUGUGAGGUGCUCCGAUACCAGGGUGAUGGGGGAUCCUAUAGGUAGAUUUGGGGAGAGCUCUCCCUAUCCCUUUCAUUACUGAUAAUGAUAACAGAUGCCAUGUCAUAAGCGCACAUGGCAUUUCACAAACAAAUUGGAAACCCAUCACCUCUGAAUUUGGGCAUGUGUAAUUUGGACUGAGUUCUCAUAAACCUGCUUACACCCACCUUUCAAUGUGCAAGGAGGCCUAGGUUGAUGUCUCUUACUUGUCAAGGAUCCUGGAGCCAUAAGGAUGUGGAAGGAGAUUGGCUGAGCAAGAAGGAAGAGUUUUGUUCCAGACAUAGGGAGAGACAUGAAGCCAAUUUGGGGAGGGUAAUGAAAGGAAUCCCCUCUUUACAGGCUCAUUGUUUUUUCGAUGCUGCCAAGACACCAGUGUUUGAAAAUCUGGCCUAUGAGGUAUGAAAGCAGUUUGGCUCUGUUUUCAAGAAAAGCUUGUAAUGGGGUGAAUUUGUCCCCAGAGCCCUUUUGACUGGUGCCCUCCCUCAGUGAAUCCAGACCUAUUGUGUGUGA